rnacentral:lncRNA from 1 species
GAGAGCGCACAGAGUGCAGCUUUUAAUUGCAUAGACGGUCAUAUUGGUGCGGCGCGGAGGAAAUCGUCCCUCUGGCUCUGCUUUAAGUCUGGAAGGACCGCGUUCUUCAGCUCCUAAGCUGCUUCAAAAAUAGAGGAGUGGCUGAAUGGCAGCACAUUUCAUUCAGUGCCAGCCGGCCCGGCCAAAUCCCCCGUAGAGGAAGGAGCACUCCCAGAGCAGAGGGGCGGCAGCAGCAGGAGCGCGGGAGGCCUGCUGCCCCCGCAGCAGCCGGCGAGGAUCCCCUCCACUCAAAUGCAGCAGUUACUUGGAUUCCAGUUGACAGCCGUGUGAAACCACCAUCCCUCCACAGCCCUGCUGCACCAGGAGAACAGCCUGCAGACCUGCAGGGAGGAGGAUGGCGUUUCAUGGCUGCACUCAAUCAGGUUCUCCUGUUUUCUCCUGGUGUUUACACGCCUGUGCUGGAGGGAGGGGGCUGCUGGGAUUUCUGGAUCCGUCCUUUCUUAGCUCACGUUUUACACCCUUUUAGAGUGAAGUCAGAUGUUGUUUCCAGCUUGUUUUUGUGGAGUCCUAGUCGAUGAAAGUAUCCUCCUGCCUGGACUGCAAAACUGAAUCUAGUUUGGAGAAAAAUUGCCUUAUUUUUUUUCUAUUACAAGAAAAAGAAUCUUAUCAAGAAAGUUUUUCAAUAGUCAACAAUCUUAGUUUCAGAAAUCACGUCUUGGUGUCAAGAAUGAGUAUUUCUUUUACCCUAUUGGCAGAUUUUUGUGCUCAUUUAAAGAAGGGGUUUUUGUUUUGGCUGAGACAUUUUGAGACACAGAUUUAACUUCUGCUCACGCCUCGUUUUAGUUCAGCACAUAAGCAAAAGAAAUGUUGGGAUUUUUGUUUUCUAAAAUAAGAAAAAUCUUUGUUGCUGCACUUAGUUUAUAGUUGCUAUAAACAAUAAAGUCUGUUUUGAGGCUCACAGAUUGGGAUUACGGGCAAGAAAAAUCCCUAAUCCUGCAACACCAGUUUACAGGAAUAUCUUUUUUAGAAGAAGAGGAAAUGUGGAUUAUUUUUCAAUAAAUAAUGGAAAAAUAUAACACAUUCCUUUUUAGGAUUUAUAAAUCUUUUAAAAUUACUUAGAUCGUAAAUGUUACAAUAUCAGAAUAAAUGGCUCCACAAGUCUUUUCAGAGGUUUGAAUAUUAAAAGCUCUUUUCUUAUUUUACAAAAAUAGAGCCCAUGAAAUUAUUCAAAGGAUGAAGUUUG